CACCUAAAAGCUAGCCCACACUGAUUAUACCCCAACCCUCAUAUAUUAAUAACCCCAGAGACCCUUAAUCCUUUAGCUAAACCAUUUCUCCACUUGAGUAUAGGUGAUAGAAAAAGAUAUUAGGCGCAAUAGAGACAGUACCGCAAGGGAACGCUGAAAGAGAAAUGAAACAAUUCAGUUUUAAGUAUAGAAAAGCAGAGUUUAAACCUCGUACCUUUUGCAUCAUGUUCUAGCUAGAGCCCAUCAAGCGAAAAGCAUUUUAGUUUGAUUACCCGAAACUAAGUGAGCUACCCCAGGACAGCCUGAUAACAGGGCCAACCCGUCUCUGUGGCAAAAGAGUGGGAAGAUCCUUGGGUAGAGGUGACAAACCUACCGAACUUAGUUAUAGCUGGUUACCUAGGAAUUGAAUAGAAGUUCAGCCUCUUGAGUUCUUCCCUCUUUUUGGGCCUUCACCUUAAACUAGGACUAAGAGAAGUCUAGAGAGUUAGUCAGAGGGGGUACAGCCCCUCUGAGACAAGACACAACUUUAUUUAGGAGGAUAAGGAUCAAACUAAACCAAGGUUAAAUAUUUUAGUGGGCCUAAAAGCAGCCACCCCAAAAGAAAGCGUUAAAGCUCGGAUAUAGCCUAAGCCUCUAAUCCUGAUCACAGAUUCCCAUUCCCCUUAAUUUACUAGGUCUUCCCAUAAGCACAUAUGGGAGCGAUUAUGCUAGUAUGAGUAACAAGAGAUGCCUGCAUUUCUCCACGCACAAGUGUAACUCGGAACGGACACGCCCCCGAGCAUUAAUUUCGCCCCCAAAAACAGAGGGAAAUGGGUCGGAGAAAGAAGACUAGAAGACCACCCAACUAUUAGCGUUAACCCCACACUGGUGCGCCCACAUGGAAAGAUUAAAAGGAAGAGAAGGAACUCGGCAAACUUACUAAAGCCUCGCCUGUUUACCAAAAACAUCGCCUCUUGUUUAUACAAUAUAAGAGGUCCCGCCUGCCCUGUGACUAUAAGUUUAACGGCCGCGGUAUUUUGACCGUGCAAAGGUAGCGCAAUCACUUGUCUUUUAAAUGAAGACCUGUAUGAAUGGCACGACGAGGGCUUAACUGUCUCCUCUCCCCAGUCAGUGAAAUUGAUCCCCCCGUGCAGAAGCGGGGAUGCCCCCAUAAGACGAGAAGACCCUAUGGAGCUUUAGACGACGGGACAGCCCAUGUCAAUACCCUUCAGCUAACGAGUGAAACUAAUUGGACCCUGCCCCUAUGUCUUUGGUUGGGGCGACCGCGGGGAAAAGAAAAACCCCCACGUGGAAUAGGAGAACUCCUCCUACAACCAAGAGCGACAGCUCUAAGUAACAGAACAUCUGACCAUUAUGAUCCGGCUUACUGCCGAUCAACGAACCGAGUUACCCUAGGGAUAACAGCGCAAUCCUCUUUUAGAGCCCAUAUCGACAAGGGGGUUUACGACCUCGAUGUUGGAUCAGGACAUCCUAAUGGUGCAGCCGCUAUUAAGGGUUCGUUUGUUCAACGAUUAAUAGUCCUACGUGAUCUGAGUUCAGACCGGAGCAAUCCAGGUCAGUUUCUAUCUAUGGAAUGAUUUCUUCUAGUACGAAAGGACCGAAGAAAAGGGGCCCAUGCCUUAGGCACGCCUCAUCCUUACCUGAUGAAGACAACUAAAACAGGCAAAAGGGCAUGCCCCCUUGUCUGAGAUAAUGACAU
rnacentral:rRNA from 1 species